rnacentral:rRNA from 1 species
AAUAGAUACCCUGGUAGUCCACGCCGUAAACGAUGAGUGCUAAGUGUUAGGGGUUUCCGCCCCUUAGUGCUGCAGCUAACGCAUUAAGCACUCCGCCUGGGGAGUACAGUCGCAAGACUGAAACUCAAAGGAAUUGACGGGGGCCCGCACAAGCGGUGGAGCAUGUGGUUUAAUUCGAAGCAACGCGAAGAACCUUACCAGGUCUUGACAUCCCGCUGACCGCUAUGGAGACAUAGCUUUCCCUUCGGGGACAGUGGUGACAGGUGGUGCAUGGUUGUCGUCAGCUCGUGUCGUGAGAUGUUGGGUUAAGUCCCGCAACGAGCGCAACCCUUGUCCUUAGUUGCCAUCAUUCAGUUGGGCACUCUAAGGAGACUGCCGUACAAAUACGGAGGAAGGUGGGGAUGACGUCAAAUCAUCAUGCCCCUUAUGACCUGGGCUACACACGUGCUACAAUGGACGGUACAAACGGUUGCGAAGUCGCGAGACGGAGCCAAUCCGAGAAAGCCGUUCUCAGUUCGGAUUGCAGG